rnacentral:rRNA from 1 species
AUGGCAGAGGCCUUAGCUCUCAAAUUUGGCCUAACAUUAGCGCAAAGGGCGGGAUGUAAUCGCCUAAUCAUCAACUCUGACAAUCUGGAGGUGAUUGAGACCAUGCAUGACGGAGGGGAGUCAGCGGCAGCGGCAAUUUGCGAUGACUGUUCUCACUAUGCAUGUGAUUUUAUCAUGACUAAAUUUGAAUAUUGUAAUAGAGAGGCAAAUAAAGUAGCACAUGAACUUGCUAGAUUAGGUAGAUUUUCUUCGACUUCGGAUUGGGUUGAGGAACCUCUUAGUGAAAUUGUAGCGUUUCUCACAAACGAUGUACUGUUUAUUGCUAAUAAAUAA